rnacentral:lncRNA from 1 species
UCUGUUUCGAACCCUAUGGUGGAAAUAAUUUCAGAUUCGAUUUGCUAAAAAACUCAAAGCCAUCAAAUUCCCUCUCUCACAAUAUUCAGAUUUCAGAUUCAAAGUCAUCCACUUCCAUCUCAUCGCGGCCAAUUGCGGAAUACAAUUUCGAAGGGUAUAAACUAGGAUUUGGGCAUUUCGGCGGCACCAUCUUCCAGUUGUUCUCGAAUCAAGAACUGAGAGAGAAAAUUUGAAAGGCAUCAUCAGCAGUGUAAAGAUCGGUAAGAACCACCAUUAGAUGUGUUUAUGGCUUUCGAUUUUUCGUCGAUCUGCGGUAUGUUGAUUUGGGGGUUGUUCAUUUGAAAAUCGAAAAAAUCACCUACCGAUUUCAUUAUGUCGAUCGUCAUUUUUAGAAUAUGUGGAAUUUGUCGACUGGAAUUUCAUCAUCUAGGGUUCGAAACUAUUCUACUGAUUGUUUGAUUUCAACACCUGCGAGUUUCAAUAAAUUGUUUCUUUGUUUGCCUCUUUUUUUGCAAUGAACUGAAUAUUUCAUAUAUUUUUUGUUAGAAUACCAAUUUAACGAGCAACAAUUACGCUACCAAAGGCUAAUGUGAUUGCAUAAUUUGUUCCUUUUAAGUCACUUCUGCAUAUUAUUGAAUUCCAUAUAUGGGCAUUGAUUUAUUUCGUUCAUUAAUUUGAAAUUCACAUUAUUUUAUGAACGCAUAUACAUGAAAAUCGGGACACAAAUAGAGCGAAGACCAGGC